rnacentral:rRNA from 1 species
AGCCAUGCAGCACCUGUCUCACGGUUCCCGAAGGCACAUUCUCAUCUCUGAAAACUUCCGUGGAUGUCAAGACCAGGUAAGGUUCUUCGCGUUGCAUCGAAU